AUGCGAGAGCUGCCACUGGGGGCUGCUAAAUCGAGACAAAGGCUAGCGGGGUUUAAGAAGAUAAGGCGCACAUCCCCAACGAUGAGGAGCUUGCACGAGGAGGCAUCUCCCUCAAUACGACUCGCCUACCAGCGCCGCCACCCGAGGAGCCAGGCAGCAGCGGCAGCCGCGGGCCAACGAGACAUCGCGAGAACGAGCGGUGUCGCGAGACUUGAGCUGCGCUGGGGCCCGCGUGUCCGCCUUGCGGUCGCUAUGGGAGGUUUCCCGCUUACGGCAUGGAGGUGCUCGCUCUCCUGUGGUUGGCGGUGGGGUCACUGUGGGUCCCUUACCAGGACUGCGGGGAAGAUAGAGCCUCUUUCCAGGCGGUGGUGGAAUGGAACAGGAGGGGCUGAGAGGGGGUGGCGGCGGCUCGCGACCUGGGGACGCGCGAGGCUGGCUGGGGACCCGCUUUUGCAGCCGCCGCGGCGGCCGAAGAGCACGAACCCUUACACGCGGACUCAGCAGGAGGACUGGCGGCGGCGGAACAAGACUGUGCUCACGUACGUGACCGCGGCCGCUGUGGCCAUGUUGGGGGCGUCCUACGCCGCUGUGCCCCUCUAUCGGCUCUAUUGCCAGACCACUGGACUCGGAGGAUCUGCAGUCGCAGGCCACUUGUCAGACCAGAUUGAAACCAUGGUGCCUGUUAAGGAUCGCAUCAUUAGAAUUACCUUCAAUGCAGAUGUACACGCAAGUCUGCAGUGGAACUUUAGACCUCAGCAAACUGAAAUCUUUGUAGUGCCAGGAGAGACUGCACUAGCAUUUUACAAAGCUAAGAAUCCUACAGACAAACCAAUAAUCGGAAUUUCUACGUACAACGUUGUACCAUUUGAAGCUGGGCAAUAUUUUAAUAAAAUACAGUGCUUCUGUUUUGAAGAACAAAGGCUUAAUCCACAAGAAGAGGUAGAUAUGCCAGUGUUUUUCUACAUCGAUCCUGAGUUUGCUGAAGAUCCACGAAUGGAGAACGUAGAUCUCAUUACUCUCUCUUACACGUUUUUUGAAGCUAAAGAAGGUCACAAGUUGCCGGUUCCGGGCUAUAAUUGAAAUCGGCAACUAAAUCUUACUGCAGAAUUUUUAUUUUUAAUAAAUCAUUUAAACUUCCUUAUAGCAGAGGAGAAAUGUUCCAGUCCCGACCAGGUCUCCUCUCUCUUCCAGGCUUCAGAGCUGGACAGACGCCAGCCUUUAGAGAGUUGGCGCUUACGCUUGGCCUUUGAGCUGGGAGUCCAGUUUUGCCUGGAAUAG